GGGCUCAUAGCUCAACUUGGUCAGAGCGCCUGACUCAUAAUCAGGUAGUUGUCGGUUCGAAUCCGACCGGGCUCA
rnacentral:tRNA from 1 species